UACGAAGGGGGCUAGCGUUGCUCGGAAUCACUGGGCGUAAAGCGCACGUAGGCGGAUUGCUAAGUCAGGGGUGAAAUCCUGGAGCUCAACUCCAGAACUGCCUUUGAUACUGGCGAUCUUGAGUCCGGGAGAGGUGAGUGGAACUGCGAGUGUAGAGGUGAAAUGCGUAGAGAUGUGGAGGAACACCAGUGGCGAAGGCGACUCUUUGGCCUGUAACUGACGCUGAGGCGCGAAAGCGUGGGGAGCAAACAGG
rnacentral:rRNA from 1 species